rnacentral:rRNA from 1 species
CCGGCACGGGUGAGUAACACGUAUCCAACCUGCCGUCUACUCUUGGCCAGCCUUCUGAAGGAAGAUUAAUCUAGGAUGGCAUCAUGAGUUCACAUGUCCGCAUGAUUAAAGGUAUUUUCCGGUAGACGAUGGGGAUGCGUUCCAUUAGAUAGUAGGCGGGGUAACGGCCCACCUAGUCAACGAUGGAUAGGGGUUCUGAGAGGAAGGUCCCCCACAUUGGAACUGAGACACGGUCCAA